rnacentral:rRNA from 1 species
GAUGAACGCUGGCGGCGUGCCUAAUACAUGCAAGUCGAGCGAACAGACGAGGAGCUUGCUCCUCUGACGUUAGCGGCGGACGGGUGAGUAACACGUGGAUAACCUACCUAUAAGACUGGGAUAACUUCGGGAAACCGGAGCUAAUACCGGAUAACAUGCUGAACCGCAUGGUUCAACAGUGAAAGACGGUUUUGCUGUCACUUAUAGAUGGAUCCGCGCCGCAUUAGCUAGUUGGUAAGGUAACGGCUUACCAAGCAACGAUGCGUAGCCGACCUGAGAGGGUGAUCGGCCACACUGGAACUGAGACACGGUCCAGACUCCUACGGGAGGCAGCAGUAGGGAAUCUUCCGCAAUGGGCGAAAGCCUGACGGAGCAACGCCGCGUGAGUGAAGAAGGUCUUCGGAUCGUAAAACUCUGUUAUUAGGGAAGAACAAAUGUGUAAGUAACUAUGCACGUCUUGACGGUACCUAAUCAGAAAGCCACGGCUAACUACGUG